rnacentral:rRNA from 1 species
AUUGAACGCUGGCGGUAGGCCUAACACAUGCAAGUCGAACGGCAGCACAGUAAGAGCUUGCUCUUACGGGUGGCGAGUGGCGGACGGGUGAGGAAUACAUCGGAAUCUACUUUUUCGUGGGGGAUAACGUAGGGAAACUUACGCUAAUACUGCAUACGACCUACGGGUGAAAGCAGGGGAUCUUCGGACCUUGCGCGAUUGAAUGAGCCGAUGUCGGAUUAGCUAGUUGGCGGGGUAAAGGCCCACCAAGGCGACGAUCCGUAGCUGGUCUGAGAGGAUGAUCAGCCACACUGGAACUGAGACACGGUCCAGACUCCUACGGGAGGCAGCAGUGGGGAAUAUUGGACAAUGGGCGCAAGCCUGAUCCAGCCAUACCGCGUGGGUGAAGAAGGCCUUCGGGUUGUAAAGCCCUUUUGUUGGGAAAGAAAAGCAGCAGGUUAAUACCCCGCUGUUCUGACGGUACCCAAAGAAUAAGCACCGGCUAACUUCGUG